CUAUUAUGGAGAGUUUGAUCCUGGCUCAGGACGAACGCUGGCGGCGUGCCUAAUACAUGCAAGUCGAGCGGAUUUAUCCUUCGGGAUAAGUUAGCGGCGGACGGGUGAGUAACACGUAGGUAACCUGCCUAUAAGAUCGGGAUAACUAUCGGAAACGAUAGCUAAGACCGGAUAACUGGUUUUCUCGCA
rnacentral:rRNA from 1 species